rnacentral:rRNA from 1 species
GUGCCAGCCGCCGCGGUAAUACCGGCAGCUCAAGUGAUGGCCGAUCUUAUUGGGCCUAAAGCGUCCGUAGCUGGCCUCGCAAGUCCGUCGGGAAAUCCAGUAGCUCAACUACUGGGCGUCCGGCGGAAACUACAAGGCUUGGGACCGGAAGGCUCGAGGGGUACGUCCGGGGUAGGAGUGAAAUCCUAUAAUCCCGCACGGACCACCGAUGGCGAAAGCACUUCGAGAAAACGGAUCCGACAGUGAGGGACGAAAGCCAGGGUCUCCAACCGGAUUAGAAACCCUAGUAGUC